CGCACGAAGGUUUCGGCCUUAGUGGCGGACGGGUGAGUAACGCGUAGGAAUCUAUCCGUGGGUGGGGGAUAACUCUGGGAAACUGGAGCUAAUACCGCAUGACACCUGAGGGUCAAAGGCGCAAGUCGCCUGCGGAGGAGCCUGCGUUUGAUUAGCUUGUUGGUGGGGUAAUGGCCUACCAAGGCGAUGAUCAAUAGCUGGUCUGAGAGGAUGAUCAGCCACACUGGGACUGAGACACGGCCCAGACUCCUACGGGAGGCAGCAGUGGGGAAUAUUGGACAAUGGGGGCAACCCUGAUCCAGCAAUGCCGCGUGUGUGAAGAAGGUUUUCGGAUUGUAAAGCACUUUCGGCGGGGACGAUGAUGACGGUACCCGCAGAAGAAGCCCCGGCUAACUUCGUGCCAGCAGCCGCGGUAAUACGAAGGGGGCUAGCGUUGCUCGGAAUGACUGGGCGUAAAGGGCGUGUAGGCGGUUUGUACAGUCAGAUGUGAAAUCCCCGGGCUUAACCUGGGAGCUGCAUUUGAGACGUGCAGACUAGAGUGUGAGAGAGGGUUGUGGAAUUCCCAGUGUAGAGGUGAAAUUCGUAGAUAUUGGGAAGAACACCGGUGGCGAAGGCGGCAACCUGGCUCAUUACUGACGCUGA
rnacentral:rRNA from 1 species